rnacentral:lncRNA from 10 species
UUCUCCUGCCUCAGCCUCCCUAGUAGCUGGGACUACAGGCGCCUGCCACCAUGCCCGGCUAAUUUUUUACAUUUUUAGUAGAGACGGGGUUUCACUGUGUUAGCCAGGAUAGUCUCCAUUUCCUGACCUCGUGAUCCGCCUGCCUCAGCCUCCCAAAGUGCUGGGAUUACAGGUGUGAGCCACGGCGCCCGGCAAUCCCCCUUACUUUUAACCAGCAUGCCAGCUACUCAGAUGACAGACAUUUAGCAGCUAAGAGCAAGGACUCUAUAGCCAGGCAGCAUGAGUUCCAAAAUCCCAGCUCUGCCACUUACAAGCUGUGAUUAUUGGAGGCCAGCAAGACCACGAACCCACUGGGAGGAAUGAACAACUCCGGACGGGAGGAACGAACCACUCUGGACGCACCGCCUUAAGAGCUAUAACACUCACUGCGAAGGUCUGCAGCUUCAUUCCUGAAGCCAGCGAGACCACGAACCCACCAGAAGGAAGAAACUCUGAACACACCCAAACAUCAGAAGGAACAAACUCCGAACACAUCAGAAGGAACAAACUGCGGACAUGCCGCCUUU